AAGAAGGUAGUAUCUGCACGGAAGGGGAAAAAGAUCAAUAAGGCAGAAUUUUCUGGUGAAGAAAGAGUCAAGAUUCAAAAUGAAGACGAGAAGAUAGUCUCUGAAGAUAUACAGGUUGAUAAGGAUGACAAGAAAAGCUUCUCGGGUAUUUUUAUGAUGAUG